AUACGUAGGGGGCGAGCGUUGUCCGGAAUGAUUGGGCGUAAAGGGCGCGUAGGCGGCUUUGCAAGUCAGUAGUGGAAGUCCAUUUUUCAAGGAUGGAAGUGCUACAGAAACUGCGGAGCUUGAGUGCAGGAGAGGUUAUCGGAAUUCCCGGUGUAGCGGUGAAAUGCGUAGAGAUCGGGAGGAACACCAGUGGCGAAGGCGGGUAACUGGACUGCAACUGACGCUGGGGCGCGAAAGUGUGGGGAGCAAACAGGAUUAGAUACCCUGGUAGUCCACACUGUAAACGAUGAAUGCUAGGUGUAGGAGGUAUCGACCCCUUCUGUGCCGCAGUAAACACAGUAAGCAUUCCGCCUGGGGAGUACGGUCGCAAGAUUAAAACUCAAAGGAAUUGGCGGGG
rnacentral:rRNA from 1 species